GUUCAACUUUGACAUUUACAAGCGCACAUGCGCGCUACCAAAUAGAACAAUCGAGUUUGCGAGCAGAAUGUUUGAAGCUCUGAAGCGCUUGCGGUAAAUGAAAUAACUGGGUCCUAAGUGGAUGACAUUUAAGGACCAUAUGCUAUGCUUUCAACCGUUACAAAAUGGCGGCACAACGCGAUUUGAGAGAUGCAUUUUGGAAUCGCAAUACGGGUCGUAUGAGUAAUAUUUUUCAAAAAACACAUUGUUUUUGGUCUGUUUAUUAAUGAAAUUAAAUGCAGAUUUCUCUUUUUGGAAUUUGGUUUUAUUUUUAAACUUCUCUCUCGCAUUAUGACCUGUUUUAUGAGCUGUUUUAACGGUAUUAUUCGACUUUAUUUGUUUAUUUGGAAAGAAGUGUUCUUUCGGGCCAUCUGGAGAACAUCUUAAAUAAUUCCAAAAAAAAAAAAAAAAGAAAAUCUAAUAAAAGACUUGAAAUUUAUAUUUUUAAGAAAAUUUGCAUGUUUUAUUUUUGUGAUUUUUUUAAAUUGUUUUUUUUUUUUCUUGUUGUUGUUGUUUGUGUGUUUGGAACUUCUCACUAGAUUCUACCUAUUACCGGAUUAUCCUUUUUACGGUGCUACGGUGAUGGUAAGGACAUCAUCAGGACAACAU